AACAGCGGAGAGAAAAGAAGGAGAGAGAAAAUAAAGAGUUACAAGAAAUGAAAGCUAAAGCUCGACAAACAACUGAAGAAAACGAACGAAGAAGAAAGGAGGAAGAAGUUAAAGCCUUAAGAGAUAAUGCAUAUGAACAUGCCAGAAUUAAUGAGGCAUUUUUAAGAAGGCUAGAGGCAGGAAAGACACUUACACAGAGUAAGUUACUACAAUAAUAACAAGUCAACGCAAAGCAUAGCAUCCCCUCGCCGGGUACAAAUGGCCAAUAUUUAGCAAUGUUUGCAUAUUUAAUGAACUAUGACAUUUGACCUACAUACACCGAAAUGAAACUUAGGCUGUAUUUUGAUAAUAUGUACCAUCAUAUCAAAUUCCGUUAAAAUCCGUUAAACAUUAUUAAAGUUAUCGAACGGAAAUCACAUUUUCGAAUAAUUAGCUUUUUUCUGCAUAUUUAAUGAGCUUUGACCUUUGACCUAAAUACUCCGAAAUCAAGCUAAGGCUGUAUUUUAAUACCAUGUACCAUCGUAUGAAAUUGACUUAAAAUCUGUCAAAUAUUACUAAAGUUAUAUCGAACGGAAACCACAUCUUCAUUGUUCAAAGUUUGCCAUCAAGUAUGUUUCUUUUUUCUUCUCUCGACAGAAUAAUGAUUAGGGGUGCCCCCCUUCCAUUUCAGCAGCGCUCUCGACCAGUGGCGAAUCCACGUUUUCUCAGUGAGGGUGGUAAUUAGGGCCCUGUUUCAUAAAAACUUGUUAUCAAUAACAAGUUCUGAUAACUGUUAUAAGCUAAUGGGUAGCAGAUUUGCCAUACAAAUUUAGUAAAGAGAAAUUUAAUUGAUAACAAGUUUAAUGAAAAAGGAUCCAGGUUUAUGUGGGGAGCACAUAGAAAGAAAUAAAAACAAGAUAGUCUCAUGUUACACUUAUAUACCAUUCUGUGAGAUAGCGUAGCGAUAUAACGCAAAGUGCAUUUAGUAAUCUUGAGACAAUUUUUAUACAGUGUUAUUAAGAAUUGAAUGAGAAUUAUAUUAUAUACACAUUUUACUACACUUUCUCACACAAAAAAAGCAUUGUUGGGUGCCGAAAAUAUGCUGGGCAUCCCCUUAGGUAAUUUAAGCCGCUACCGUAAUAUGUAACAAUGAGGACAUCGCGAAGUUCAAAUCAUAUAGGAAACGCCAGGAAGCCAUCUCCAAACGACGGAAGCUCGCCGGUGAGCGGAAGUCCAUCCAGGAAGAUUUAGCAAAAGCAAAUCAAGACCAGCUUGCACAUGUAGGUUCCUCUGAGAAAGAAAAAGCAGCAAGGUCAAGAGAUGGUCGUAUUCUAUAGUGACUGACAAAAUCAACAACAAAGAUAAUUCAAUAUCCCCCAACUCUAAACUUAGA